rnacentral:lncRNA from 1 species
CAUCAGUAUAUUCAUAUUUUAUGUAUUUUAUUUGAUAAAUACGAAUAUGAAUAUAGAUAUUUAGUUUUUACCGAUUGAAAUCGGAUCGGAUAUGGAUCAGAUACCAGCAUAUGCAUAUCCAUAUUUAUUUUAUUGGACAAACAUAAAUACGGAUAUAGAUAUUAUUCAGAUGUAAAAAUUUAUAUUCAUAUUUAUUUUAAACGGAU